UACGUAGGGUGCGAGCGUUAAUCGGAAUUACUGGGCGUAAAGCGCGCGUAGGUGGUUUGUUAAGUUGGAUGUGAAAGCCCCGGGCUCAACCUGGGAACUGCAUUCAAAACUGACAAGCUAGAGUAUGGUAGAGGGUGGUGGAAUUUCCUGUGUAGCGGUGAAAUGCGUAGAUAUCUGGAGGAACACCGGUGGCGAAGGCGGCAUCCUGGACCGACACUGACGCUGAGGAGCGAAAGCCAGGGGAGCAAACGGG
rnacentral:rRNA from 1 species